UACAGAGGUCCCAAGCGUUGUUCGGAUUCACUGGGCGUAAAGGGUGCGUAGGCGGCCGGGUAAGUCUGCUGUGAAAUCCCGCAGCUCAACUGCGGAACUGCAUUGGAUACUAUUCGGCUAGAGGAAUGGAGGGGAGACUGGAAUUCUCGGUGUAGCAGUGAAAUGCGUAGAUAUCGAGAGGAACACCAGUGGCGAAGGCGAGUCUCUGGACAUUUCCUGACGCUGAGGCACGAAAGCCAGGGGAGCAAAC
rnacentral:rRNA from 1 species